rnacentral:rRNA from 1 species
CAGACGGGUGAGUAACAUGUAGGUAUCUACCCUUUGGCCUGGAAUAACACGAGGAAACUUGUGCUAAUACCGGAUAAGUCUUUACGGAGAAAGCUUUAUGCACCAUUGGAUGAGCCUGCACUUGAUUAGUUUGUUGGUAGGGUAAUGGCCUACCAAGACUGUGAUCAAUAGCUGAUUUGAGAGGAUGAUCAGCCACAUUGGGACUGAGACACGGCCCAAACUCCUACGGGAGGCAGCAGUGGGGAAUCUUGCACAAUGGAGGAAACUCUGAUGCAGCGAUGCCGCGUGAGUGAAGAAGGCCCUUGGGUUGUAAAGCUCUUUCGUCGGGGAAGAUAAUGACUGUACCCGAAUAAGA